UACGUAGGGGGCAAGCGUUGUCCGGAAUCAUUGGGCGUAAAGCGCGUGUAGGCGGUCCGGUAAGUCCGCUGUGAAAGUCGGGGGCUCAACCCUCGGAUGCCGGUGGAUACUGUCGGGCUUGAGUCCGGAAGAGGAGUGUGGAAUUCCUGGUGUAGCGGUGAAAUGCGCAGAUAUCAGGAGGAACACCAAUGGCGAAGGCAGCACUCUGGGACGUGACUGACGCUGAGACGCGAAAGCGUGGGGAGCAAACAGG
rnacentral:rRNA from 1 species